rnacentral:tRNA from 1 species
GGGCCUGUAGCUCAACGGGAGAGCACCUGGUUUGCAACCAGGGGGUUGGCGGUUCGAAUCCGCUCAGGUCCACCC